rnacentral:rRNA from 1 species
GGUUNAUUGAUCAUGGCUCAGAGCUGAACGCUGGCGUNUAAAGCCUAACACAUGCAAGUCGAACGGCAGCACAGGAGAGCUUGCUCUCUGGGUGGCGAGUGGCGGACGGGUGAGGAAUACAUCGGAAUCUACUUUUUCGUGGGGGAUAACGUAGGGAAACUUACGCUAAUACCGCAUACGACCCUUACGGGUGAAAGCAGGGGAUCUUCGGACCUUGCGCGAAUUGCAAUGGACGACACGGACUGUCGAGACUUUAAGGNCCAUUAANGCGNUCUCUGGGGGCCCGNCGACNCCGGCUUUACCAACAACCGNCGGGACCACNCCCACCCAAAAACCAAACCCCCAAAAAACAANACCCGCNGCGCACCCCACGNNCAACAAAACACCCCAGAGAAAACUUCCCACCC